UUGCUCAUCAUCAUCAGAGGACUUCUCAAGAGUAGCCUGCAAGAGUGGAAAUGACAGUUAAGAAGAUAUACCAAAGUAAAAGAAAACGGAAAAUCAGCUAGAGUUGAACUUGAGUCUUUUUUUGUCGAAAUGAUAGGUUCAUUGACAUAAGCGUGAUCCACAGGGUCUAUGGGGAUUGCUGUAAAGAAAACAUAGAAAAUCAAGUAAGCGAC
rnacentral:lncRNA from 1 species